rnacentral:rRNA from 1 species
UUGAACGCUGGCGGCAUGCCUUACACAUGCAAGUCGAACGGUAGAGGGGCAACCCUUGAGAGUGGCGAACGGGUGAGUAAUAUAUCGGAACGUGCCCAGUCGUGGGGGAUAACGCAGCGAAAGCUGCGCUAAUACCGCAUACGAUCUAUGGAUGAAAGCGGGGGAUCGCAAGACCUCGCGCGAUUGGAGCGGCCGAUAUCAGAUUAGGUAGUUGGUGGGGUAAAAGCCCCGA